AAAGAUGAGAGUUUCGAAAGUGACAGCUGCCGAACAAAUUGCGGAGGUUUGAUACAGUAAAUCUCACCUCAAAUGAAAAGUUUUCAACAGAAAUGCAAAAAUGAAAAAAAGGGUGUUUGGUGACUUGGACCCCGAGGACGAAAAUGACAAAGAUCCAUUUUCUGAUAAAUGUCGAAAAUAAUGAAUUGCUGUAGAUGCAAGCUGGAUCGUCAUCUUCAUCAGAAAAUGGAGUCCCAUUCAGCCUGUGCAAGUGUCAGUAGUGAAAUAAAAAUGUUUACUUGCGAAUUAUGUAGGAAUUAGGUAGUGCUAUGACAAUAAAAGAUUGAUUUCUUAUUA